UACGUAGGUGGCAAGCGUUGUCCGGAAUUAUUGGGCGUAAAGCGCGCGCAGGCGGCCUCCUAAGUCUGAUGUGGAAGCCCCCGGCUCAACCGGGGAGGGCCAUUGGAAACUGGGAGGCUUGAGUAUAGGAGAGAAGAGUGGAAUUCCACGUGUAGCGGUGAAAUGCGUAGAGAUGUGGAGGAACACCAGUGGCGAAGGCGACUUUCUGGCCUACAACUGACGCUGAGGCGCGAGAGCGUGGGGUGCAAACACG
rnacentral:misc_RNA from 1 species